GACAGAGGGGGCAAGCGUUGCUCGGAAUCACUGGGCGUAAAGGGUGCGUAGGCGGCCUCUCAAGUCUGGCGUGAAAGCCCAGGGCUCAGCCCUGGAAGUGCUCUAGAAACUGAGAGGCUAGAGUGCCGGAGGGGAGACUGGAAUUUACGGUGUAGCGGUGAAAUGCGUAGAUAUCGUAAGGAAGACCAGUGGCGAAGGCGGGUCUCUGGACAGUUCCUGACGCUGAGGCGCGAAGGCCAGGGGAGCAAACGGG
rnacentral:rRNA from 1 species